ACUGCUCAGUAACACGUCGAUAAUCUGCCCUUAGGACGAGAACAACCCCGGGAAACUGGGGCUAACUCUCGAUAGGCGAAGAACUCUGGAAUGAGUCUUUACCUAAAUAGUGCAACGUUAUCCUCGUUGCAUCGCCUAAGGAUGAGGCCGCGACCGAUCAGGUUGUUGGCGAGGUAAUGGCUCACCAAGCCUUUUACCGGUGCGGGCCGUGAGAGCGGGAGCCCGGAGAUGGGCACUGAGACAAGGGCCCAGGCCCUACGGGGCGCAGCAGUCGCGAAAACUUUGCAAUAAGCGAAAGCUUGACAGGGCUAUCCCGAGUGCCAUCCGCUGAGGAAGGCUUUUACCCAGUCUAGAACGCUGGGGGAAUAAGGAGAGGGCAAGUCUGGUGUCAGCCGCCGCGGUAAUACCAGCUCUCCGAGUGGUGUGGAUGUUUAUUGGGCCUAAAGCAUCCGUAGCUGGCUAGGUCAGUCCCUUGUUAAAUCCACCGAAUUAAUCGUUGGAUUGCGGGGGAUACUGCUUGGCUAGGGGACGAGAGAGGCAGACGGUAUUUUCGGGGUAGGGGUGAAAUCCUAUAAUCCCGGGAAGACCACCAGUGGCGAAGGCUGUCUGCUAGAACGCGCCCGACGGUGAGGGAUGAAAGCUGGGGGAGCGAACCGGAUUAGAUACCCGGGUAGUCCCAGCUGUAAACGAUGCAGACUAGGUGUUUGGACGGCCACGUGCCGUUCUAGUGCCGCAGGGAAGCUGUUAAGUCUGCCGCCUGGGGAGUACGAUCGCAAGAUUGAAACUUAAAGGAAUUGGCGGGGGAGCA
rnacentral:rRNA from 1 species